rnacentral:rRNA from 1 species
UACGGGGGGGGCAAGCGUUGUUCGGAAUUACUGGGCGUAAAGGGCGCGUAGGCGGCUCAGUAAGUCGGGUGUGAAAACUCCAGGCUCAACCUGGAGACGCCACCCGAUACUGCUGUGGCUAGAGUCCGGUAGGGGAGCAUGGAAUUCCUGGUGUAGCGGUGAAAUGCGCAGAUAUCAGGAGGAACACCAGUGGCGAAGGCGGUGCUCUGGGCCGGAACUGACGCUGAGGAGCGAAAGCGUGGGGAGCAAACAGG